rnacentral:ncRNA from 1 species
GACAAACCUGUGAGCAAGAGUAGUACCCAUAAUUGUGUAUUUCCAGAGAGCAUUGCAUCGGUGAGAGCAUGUAUUAUCCGUUAUGGAGAAUGGACUUGUGAGGGCAAACUGAUUCCGUUUCUGACGGCGUAGGGGCGACGGCAUCCAUCCGUUAUAAUUGGAAUAUGUAUUAUUGUACAUAACAGAGUGUAUUCGUAAUCGAAUAAAUUUAGGUGGCACCGCAGGAGUAAUCUCUUGUCCUAUUU